GGCACCUAAAAAGCGUUUUCCUGUUGGUAGAAAAGUGCUCUGGAAAAUCGUAGUUGUGUGCUAUAGCGAAUUCUUUCCAUAGCAAAACGACUUGACUUAUUUUUAGAGAGUUCUUGUCUAUUAAAUUGGUAAACAGAU
rnacentral:snoRNA from 13 species